UGGGGAAUAUUGGACAAUGGGCGAAAGCCUGAUCCAGCCAUGCCGCGUGUGUGAAGAAGGUCUUCGGAUUGUAAAAGCACUUUAAGUUGGGAGGAAGGGCAGUUACCUAAUACGUGAUUGUCUUGACGUUACCGACAGAAUAAGCACCGGCUAACUCUGUGCCAGCAGCCGCGGUAAUACAGAGGGUGCAAGCGUUAAUCGGAAUUACUGGGCGUAAAGCGCGCGUAGGUGGUUUGUUAAGUUGGAUGUGAAAUCCCCGGGCUCAACCUGGGAACUGCAUUCAAAACUGACAGGCUAGAGUAUGGUAGAGGGUGGUGGAAUUUCCUGUGUAGCGGUGAAAUGCGUAGAUAUAGGAAGGAACACCAGUGGCGAAGGCGACCACCUGGACUGAUACUGACACUGAGGUGCGAAAAGCGUGGGGAGCAAAACAGGAUUAGAUACCCUGGUAGUCCACGCCGUAAAACGAUGUCAACUAGCCGUUGGGAGCCUUGAGCUCUUAGUGGCGCAGCUAACGCAUUAAGUUGACCGCCUGGGGAGUACGGCCGCAAGGUUAAAACUUAAAGGAAUUGACGGGGUCAUAGCUGUUUCCUG
rnacentral:rRNA from 1 species